UGGAUCAAAUAAGGAAUUGAAAAACCCCUAGGUUUCACUCACUCACACCCACCUAUCUUCCGAAAACCUCCCGAACCCCUCUCACAACUUCGAUCAUCUCUCGCCUUCUCCAUCACUGUCGACGUCCCUCAUUCUCUAGCCUCUACCCGAUUGGGAGAGGACAGGCUCCCUCUUCCGCCUCCAUCUCAUCUACAGCCGACACUAACGCACACAAUAGGAGCUUCAUCCAAGAAUCCGCAGGCCAUCUCAUCUCCUCUACCAUCUUCCUCGUCGUUGACGGCAAGAUCUUCUCACAGAACUUCCAGAUCUGAAAGCCAUCUCACGGUGCCUUCAUCUUUAGCCCACAGCUUCUUCCAAUUGGGAGAGACGCCACCACCGAACUCUACAUCACCCUCUCCUGAUUAGUAGAGGUUUCUUCGCCACCACUAGUUUCCUUCCACCUCUCCAUUUUGGAUUUGAAGAGUAAAGCUUCAUCACUAGCUAGCAGCCCCUCUCCUCUUCGGAUUUGAAGAGGAGAGUUCUUAUCUGAACUUAUCGUUUGACUGGAAGACCAGCCCACAUUAAUGAGCACUGACACACCCAUUCGGCUAGGCUUGGCCCUAAAUUUCUCGGUCUGUUCUAGGACGAGAUUUUGAAUUCGCCAGACAAGUCUUGUUCUCUUGCCAAGAAGGAAUUCUGGUAUUUGAAUAUGGAACUUUAUUAGCUUCUUGUGUAUCACUUCUAAAGGACAUCAUAUCACAGGUAAAUUCUAAAGGAUACGUUUGAUAUGCUUGUUUAAGUUGAUUACAUAUGAUUUUUCUUCUUCAUUGCAAGUAACUUUUAUGUGAGAUAUAAAUUUUCAGUAAUAUAUAUAUUCUGCAUUGCUGAUAACACACAUGCCAAACAUACAAUUUUUACUUUAAGCCUCUUCUCAAGUGCAACGAGAAAGCCACAUAUAAACAUAGCUAAGUGAUGCUCAAAAUUGCUUGCAUGAUGCUCUUUGAGGAGACAUUGAUAAGCGAAGAGGAGGAAGAAGCACUACUUGAUCAGAAUAUGGAGGAUUAAGAUGCAGAAUAUAGAAAAAUAAAAGUCCAUGACUGCAUAUAUCAAGAGAGAGGUUUGUUCUACCUUGGUGCAACUUAUAGAAGUUCGACCAUCAUUCCUAGAGUGCCUUUUCAGAUAUUUUGAAGGUGAAUGGAGGUAUUCAAAAACUCUAGCUAAAUAGCUCGGGUAUGGAUGAUUACAGGAGCAACAACAUGUGGCACUGCAUCCGAACCUCAUGGGUGUGACUGGGAAGUACUUCGACGAAGAACUAUCAAGAAGGCUUUGGGAUUUAAGUGAGAAUAUGGUUAAAGUCAAUGAGUAAAGAACAUUCAAGUCAAGAGGAUAAGUAGCAUCUAUAAAGAUCCUUUAAGUUCAUGCAAUAAGAUGUAGACGAUAGAAGUAGUUUUUAGUGUCUCCUAAUUAAAAUUUCUUUGUAUGCAAGUAAUUAUGCUUGUUAUAAAGUGUAUGGAUGAUUUAUAUAUUUAUCUUGGUUGUUUAUUUAAUAAUAUGUCGUUGAUUGAAGUA